rnacentral:lncRNA from 1 species
UAACAUGGGGACAUAGUUGCUACAAAAUUCUGCCAAUGUGGUUAUAUGUAACAUAAACACAUCAGCAUCAAAGAGUAUCCAACUAGCUUUUGUUUAUGCAACUAAAUUCUUAAGCUAAACCAAAAAAAAAAAAACCUUAAAGAUAAGCGACAAAACUAGAAACAUAGCUAGUAACCUAGCCUAGAGUACUUGUUUAUUAAUUAUAUACAGAUUUUAUGCAAAAUAUGCAACAGUUAUUUAGUUACUAUAUACAUUAAUUUAGAUCUAAC